rnacentral:lncRNA from 1 species
AUCCGGAUAUUGAAAAUGGUGCAACUAGUCUUGUACCACUUAACAUCGUCGGAAGUACCAAAGGAAUCCCUCAACACUUGAAGCAUUUCCUCUGACUGAACUUCUUCAAACUUUCAGCUGAACUAGUCGUUCAUAGAGGUCCGCAUAAUGCAACGAAUUGUAGUGCGGUUGUUGAGCCACUUCAAAUAAGUAUCUCGGAC